GAUGAACGCUAGCUACAGGCUUAACACAUGCAAGUCGAGGGGAAACGACAUCGAAAGCUUGCUUUUGAUGGGCGUCGACCGGCGCACGGGUGAGUAACGCGCAUCCAACCUGCCCACCACUUGGGGAUAACCUUGCGAAAGUAAGACUAAUACCCAAUGACGUCUCUAGAAGACAUCUGAAAGAGAUUAAAGAUUUAUCGGUGAUGGAUGGGGAUGCGUCUGAUUAGCUUGUUGGCGGGGUAACGGCCCACCAAGGCGACGAUCAGUAGGGGUGCAGAAAGAAAGGUCCACAACGUUGGAACUGCGACACGGUCCAAUCUCCUAGGGGAGGCAGCAGUGAGGAAUAUUGGUCAAUGGGCGAGAGCCUGAACCAGCCAAGUAGCGUGCAGGAUGACGGCCCUAUGGGUUGUAAACUGCUUUUAUAAGGGAAUAAAGUGAGUCUCGUGAGACUUUUUGCAUGUACCUUAUGAAUAAGGACCGGCUAAUUCCGUGCCAGCCGCCGCAGUAA
rnacentral:rRNA from 1 species